CAGCACCUCAAGUGGUCAGGAUGAUUAUUGGGCUUAAAGCGUCCGUAGCCGGCUUAGCAAGUUUCCUGUUAAACCCAGCGACUCAAUCGUUGGAUCGCGGGAAAUACUACUAGGCUAGGAGGCGGGAGAGGUCAACGGUACUUCUGGGGUAGGGGUGAAAUCCUAUAAUCCCGGGAGGACCACCAGUGGCGAAGGCUGUUGACUAGAACGCGCUCGACGGUGAGGGACGAAAGCUGGGGGAGCGAACCGGAUUAGAUACCCGAGUAGUC
rnacentral:rRNA from 1 species